AUCCAGCUGACGAGUUUCAAAUAGGACGAAACGCACGUCAAACUGGAC
rnacentral:hammerhead_ribozyme from 1 species